rnacentral:rRNA from 1 species
UCCUGACUGACCGAUAGUGAACCAGUACCGUGAGGGAAAGGCGAAAAGAACCCCGGCGAGGGGAGUGAAAAAGAACCUGAAACCGUGUACGUACAAGCAGUGGGAGCACGCUUAGGCGUGUGACUGCGUACCUUUUGUAUAAUGGGUCAGCGACUUAUAUUCUGUAGCAAGGUUAACCGAAUAGGGGAGCCGAAGGGAAACCGAGUCUUAACUGGGCGUUAAGUUGCAGGGUAUAGACCCGAAACCCGGUGAUCUAGCCAUGGGCAGGUUGAAGGUUGGGUAACACUAACUGGAGGACCGAACCGACUAAUGUUGAAAAAUUAGCGGAUGACUUGUGGCUGGGGGUGAAAGGCCAAUCAAACCGGGAGAUAGCUGGUUCUCCCCGAAAGCUAUUUAGGUAGCGCCUCGUGAAUUCAUCUCCGGGGGUAGAGCACUGUUUCGGCAAGGGGGUCAUCCCGACUUACCAACCCGAUGCAAACUGCGAAUACCGGAGAAUGUUAUCACGGGAGACACACGGCGGGUGCUAACGUCCGUCGUGAAGAGGGAAACAACCCAGACCGCCAGCUAAGGUCCCAAAGUCAUGGUUAAGUGGGAAACGAUGUGGGAAGGCCCAGACAGCCAGGAUGUUGGCUUAGAAGCAGCCAUCAUUUAAAGAAAGCGUAAUAGCUCACUGGUCGAGUCGGCCUGCGCGGAAG